rnacentral:rRNA from 1 species
AUAUCAAUAAGCGGAGGAAAAGAAACUAACAAGGAUUCCCCUAGUAACUGCGAGUGAAGCGGGAAGAGCUCAAAUUUGAAAUCUGGCGGUCCCCGUGGCCGUCCGAGUUGUAACCUAGAGAAGUGCUAUCCGCGCUGGACCGUGUACAAGUCUCCUGGAACGGAGCGUCACAGAGGGUGAGAAUCCCGUCUUUGACACGGACUACCAGGGCUUUUGUGAUGCGCUCUCGAAGAGUCGAGUUGUUUGGGAAUGCAGCUCAAAAUGGGUGGUAAAUUCCAUCUAAAGCUAAAUAUUGGCGAGAGACCGAUAGCGAACAAGUACCGUGAGGGAAAGAUGAAAAGAACUUUGGAAAGAGAGUUAAACAGUACGUGAAAUUGUUGAAAGGGAAACGCUUGAAGUCAGUCGCGUCGGCCAGGGAUCAACCUUGCAUUUAUUUGCUGGGAGUACUUCCUGGUCGACGGGUCAGCAUCAAUUUUGACCGUCGGAUAAAGGCCUAGGGAAUGUGGCAUCCUCGGAUGUGUUAUAGCCCUUGGUCGCAUGCGACGGUCGGGAUUGAGGAACUCAGCACGCCGCAAGGCCGGGGUAUUCGUACCCACGUUCGUGCUUAGGAUGCUGGCAUAAUGGCUUUAAUCGA